CCACACAAGCACUUCUCAUUGCUGCCCACCAUCUUCCUCCCCCACAGCCACCUGUGCCCCAGAUGGCCUGGUUCUCUCUGUUCAGUCCCUUGAUGGCCUCCAGCCACCAGUAUGGAGCCAGAUACACUUCUGUUGAAAUUCCGGAAGAAAAAAAAAAGUGUGUGAAUUCCAAAAUGGUCCUGGAAUGAAAGAAGAAAAUGUCAGGGUGAGGGGUGUGAGUUCUCUGGUCUGGGAUUUCUGUUUCGGGCCCAGGAUUCAGUGAGGAAGAGUUCCCUCCUAGACACCCUGGGGAAUCCUAAAGAGUGUGAGAGUGAGGGGAUGGUGCUGAGGCCAUCCUGAGCGCAGGAGACCUGCUCUAGCAAUGGUGGGGAUGGGGACGCUGUUAAAGCCAGGAUCCCCCCACCUGACUGAGAGUUCCCAGCACUCUCCUGCUCACCGACAUGUUCUUUACCUCAGGAUGCUGGAGGCAGGAGGGGUGUGGUCUCUGGGCCACCAAGGAAGGGCUUCUGUGGGGACAAGUGUGACUCCUGUGCCUUGUGCUCUAAGGCAAGCCUGUUACCUGCCACCCUGUUUCCUGCCACAUAUGCAAAAUCAAUGCCACCUGUCAUCAACACUGUGAGUGAAACUCAGGAUCUUCAUGUUGGCCAGAGCAAGGUGGGGGUCUUAAGCUCAUUUACCAGAGUCAUGCAAUGAAGUGAGUAGUCCCCGAAUUCUCAGCCAGGGCCCAAGACAAACUUGGACCGUGGACUGAGGUGGAGACGGGCUUUGCUUCAAUUUCUUGUUCUUUGCGUUCAUUUACCCAGAUGUUUCCACAGUCUUUCCCACAGGUGCAAAAAUGGUUGUGAAAGAAGAAAGAAAGCCAGAUCCUUGAGGGUUUCCAUGCCUGGAGAUGAACAGCUCAUAGGAGAGCCCUGACAUUUCUGCAGGUGGCUGGUGACUCCCCUCUGGCACUGAGUCCCCUGGGCCCUGCUGCCAGCCUGACCACCUAUUAGGUGCAGGACAGGCUGAGUAAGCUGUCUGCAGGGCAUGCCAAACAAAGUUAGCUGCAGGAUGACCUGGCCUCUCAAACCCUCUGUCUGGUUCUUUAUCAACUAUUUGCUUCAAGCCCAAACGCCCAAGCCCCCGCUCAAGGCCGAACACUUAACCCCCCUUGUGCCAACAAGGCAGCUUGCAGACCCAGAGACCUCAUUAGAUUUGGGCUAUAAAAACUCCCUCCUGCCGGGCCCCUCUCUCUCUUGCUUUCUCUCUCUCUUGUGCGGGCUUCCUCUCUCUCUCUCUCUCUCUCUCUCUCUCUCUCUCCUUCUCUUUCUCUCUCUUCUCCUCUGUUGCACUGCUGCAAUAAAGCUCUCUUGGUCACUCUGAGUGUUGCGGUCACUUUCCUUUCAUUGAUGUCGAAACCCGGGAGAGGGUUAAAACCCACUUUUGGGUCUCUUCCUUCGGAAGUGCCACUCACCCGACGACCUGAACCUAUUUUCUCGAUUGCCAGAACUACAUCCACAACCUACCUUCGAUUGGUGAGUUUCCCCUUCCUGGAGUCCUAAACCCAAUGGUGAUGUCGGCAGGAUUUGGCUGUUGAUUGUCCGGCAAACCUGUUUGCCCACCUGCGGGGAGGAACACACCCCACCACAGCCUUCAAGGCCACGAUGGCCCUCAGGGACUCCUUCUUGGGCAGAUUAGACUCUUGGGUUCAAAUUUAUUCUCCUUCCCAGCUGGUAAUUUACCAGCAUAGGCUUCUUAGGUCUCCCUCAAAAGACUGUGAAACCUCCAGGGACACAUAACAGAGAACUUAACAUCACAUCCUACCCAGACCUCACGAUUUUGGUGACUCUCCUAAAAUCCUAGUCCUCACACCUUCAAGACUCGGCCUCCAGAGAGAACCUUACCCUUCCCUUCCUCUCUCUUCCCCUGUCUCUCUCUUUCCCCUCUUUCCGGCCCUGGGAGUAUCCGGCCUCUCUAGGAGGGGUCCCGAAAAGCCUUGGCCAAGGUCUCCCACAGGCUCCAGCUCCGUCCAGGACGAGAGCUUCGACUGUCAGGAUUCGGUGACGACCAAUCUCUGCAGCUCGAACCUGCCACUAAGGCACUCCUGAGUUUUGGCUCUAGCGAGGACGCCCCUUUUGCCAAUAAAUCAGUUUCCUCCUUCUCUCUUAUAUAUACAGUUGCGUCUCCUUCCUUCUCCUCUAUACCAAGUUUGCAUCCCCUUCCCUCCUCCUUAUACUACUUUGUGACAUGGGUAAUGUGUCCUCUCUGCCGGUCGACUCUCCCCUACAAUGCCUCUUGGAUAACCUCAAAACCCUCUCCUUGACACCAGACAUCAAACCCCCAAAAUUGAUCAAAUAUAGCACCCAGGCCUGGCCCACUUAUCCCUUAGACAACCAAAACAGAUAGCACCCUUUUGGGUCCCUGGAUCCCUCCAUUCUAAGGGAUCUCUACUGUUACUGUGGGCAUUGGAAAAAAUGGGUAGAGAGCUGCUAUGUCAAAGCUUUCUUCCUGCUUGUGCUCUCUGCACCUCUUGCAACCCUCUACAAAUUCGUCUAGCUUGCAAACCAACUCCCCCAACCACCGAUCCCCAAUCUCCUCCUCCUCCAGACUCAUCCACUUCUUUUGACCCUGCGGAUGAAUUUCCACCCUAUCGCCCAGCUCCAACAGAUCCUCACCCUCAGCCUUCUGCCCCAGACUCUCCGCCAUCACUCCCACCUCGGUAACCUGCUUUCUCUCCUCCAAUUACUAGAUCAAAAACGUACACCACCACCCUUCCUCAGACCGUUGCCCCCUUGCUGAGGUAGCAGUUACUAAAGGAAUCCCUUUACCCACUCACUCCUCUCUUCUACUGUUAGCACCCACACCGGGUCCCACCAGGUCCUUUUACCAGCUAACCCAAAGCUCAAAUGAGCUGAGGAGAGCCCUCAGACCCCUAUCCAAGAUCUGGUGAAAUGGCCUUUAAAGUUGCUUUGUCAUCACUGAAAACAGGUUACUAAGAAUUAAAGUCCCUUACAGGCUUUUUGGGAUAUUCAUUCCCGUCUUCCCCUCUGCUCUACCUGUUCUUCUGCUCAAGUUUUCCUUGCUAGGGAAAAUCCCAAACCCCUUUCCCAUUAUUCUUUCACAUCUCCUUCCUCAUUCUCAGAUCGAAAGGAGCUGCUGUCAGCCCCGCCUUCCCGUCUUCCCCCUCCCUACCAGGCCCACAGAAAAGUCUUAACUGACCUUCUCCAGAAGUCUUCACCAUGGCUGAUUUUAGGACUUUCAGCAAAAGAAUCUCUACAAAAGAGUUUAAUGUAGAUAAACUUCCUAUUUUCAUGUUGCCCUGUUUUACUUGGCUACUGUCUGGAAAAAAUCAGCACUCCAAAAGCUAGACACCUCCUUACUAGUUUUUCACAAAAAUAUGUAAACAAGGCCUCUGGCCUUGAGCUGGGCUUCAUAGUGCUGACUACAUUUCUAAGAUAAGGAAGUUACCAACUGGGCUCCAUGGUAACAGCUGGCAGGGGGAGGAAAGAAAGGGAAGAAAAAGCUCUCCCCUUCCCAGGUGUCCUUGAAGGGUUAACUUGCCCAGAACAGAGAAAAAAAGAAAGAAAACUGCUUUUUGUGAACUUCUGCAGACUGUGAACUUCUGAGCCCCUCCCCUUACAUGCUGGGUGCAAAAUUCUGAAACUACCUAAACUUGGGGUUCAGGGGGUUAAUUGAUUAUGGCAGAGGCUGUGUCCUCUGAAUCUGCAACCAAAUAAGACUGUUUCCCUAUCUUCACUGCUAUCUUAGGUGCCUUGCCUUGUCCGUCCCUACAACAGUAUAAUUCUAUAUACUUAAACAUUGUUCACGUUUUCAUGAAAUGGUAAACAGAUGUGAUUAAUUGUGUAAUGCAAGUAAGAAAAUAUCUCUUAUUAAAAUGGAAUAACUUGCCUAAAUUCAUAAAUUUACAAGGAUUGUUUCAAAGUGUGAAUAAAGAAGGAGUUAACAGAGGGGAAAGAGAAAUUAGAAGGUUCUAAGUAUGGAUUUAAUAGAAGGAAAAGGUGUUUCUAGAUAAGGUGUUUCUAUAUGAUUAAGUAAAUAAGAGGGUAUAAGCAAGUGAUAAAGAAGGUCUAUGUAUGAUGGCUAUAUAGGUUUGAGUAAGUGAUAAAGAAGUUCUGUGUAAUUUGGUUAUAUAUGUAAAUUUUUUGAGCAAGUAAUCUUGAAGGAAUUAAGCAUUAUACAACUAUGGUUAAACAACAACUGUUAUUUUGCAAUAUUGGUAAUAUAUUAUUUCUUCUAUUACUCUUCUUUGUAUAUUAAAUAUGUUCAUAUUUUCCAGGUAUAAAAAUAAUUAAGAUAGAAGCUUUUAAAAAAUUAUAUCAAGCUGGUGUUCUCCAAAAGGUUUCAUGGUAAUUUUAGGCUUAUAAAAAUAACAUAUUGGAGAUUUAUUUAUAUCAUUUAAUUUUCUAUAACUGGACCUAUUAUCAAUAAGAUUAAUAUAAAGUUCUAUAAACUGGGUACAAUUUAAAUGCAAUAUAUUGUGUUAGCUGGUAUUCAUGUGACCUCGAACAACAAUAUAUGUAAUCUUUAUAAAGUGAUAUUUAAAAACAAAGAUCAGCUUCAAUACUAGAACACUUUACCUAAGAUUUAUAAAUCUUAGCCUUACCUGAGAUAAGGCUGUGCCUCCCAUCUUACCACAUGUUAGAAUGACUCCAAAGUAGGCCAGACUUCAGCUAAAGCCCGAUACUCUUAAUUUAAGGUGAAACUGACUUUGCAGGAUGUUUACGAUCAAGACUUAAAGUUAAAUUAAAAUGGCCAAGUAAACCAAUAUUUGGCUCUGGCCCUCUGAGUCAGUCUGAAACCAGGGAACAGGGGACUUCUCUAAAGUACUUUGCAACUCUGGGCCACAUAACCUCCUGAUCAGGGAGAUUAAUGAGACCACUGGAGAAUGAAAAGCCAAUCAGUGUACUUGCUGUGAAUAGGAGGGUCAUGGGAGACAGGAGACAUCCCUGAUGCUUCCAAGGGAAGCCACAUGGUCAAGCAAGACCUGGACCCAUCCUAGCGCAAAUAGCACUAGCAGAACUACGAAGCUGCUCUCAAGUUCCCCCACGAGUGACCCCUAUGGGAACUCAGCUAACUCUUAACAAUAGAUAGAAACAAAGUCAAUUUUGACCAGCUUGAUCUUAAACACCUACCAAAGACAGUUAAGCCAAAACACAGUCAUUCCUGGGAGUAAUGAAGGUCAAGAACAGCUAGAAAAGAGGAGACAGCAACUAGGCUAACAGUCUCCAUGGGGAAUAUUCAGUCAAGUAUGGCCUUGGCUCCUCCCUGUCACAGGACCCCUAUUUGUUAGUCUUCUUUAUGUUUCUCCUAAUAGGACCAUGACCAUUAAACUGCCUACAGAAGUUCCUGCAAGAUCAGAUACACAAAUUCACCAACCAGUCUGUCAAUCAACUACUUCUUUAAAACUACCAGCCCCUGAUGCCCAAGACAGAGACCUACGACUCAUGACCAACUCCUCUAGCUGCAGAGACUCUGCGCCCACCUAAAACCCUCUCUAACCCCUUUUCCAGAUUUUACAACCCCUCUUUCACUUCCUAGGAAUGAGAACUACUCUCCAGCAGGUCCACUCUGCUUGUUCUGUCUGCUCUACAGCAUCCCCACAAGGAAGCGUCAAACCUAAACUCCCCAGGCAUCAGAUGAGGAGCCACCAGCCAGGCGAAGACUGGUACAUUAACUUCACUCAUGUGCCUAGGCACAAAAAGCUUCGCUACCUACUUACUUUGGUUGAUACUUUUUCAGGUUGGAUAGAAGCCUUCCCUACAUCCAGGGAAGCUGCUGACACUGUCACCUCCAUCCUCAUUGACAGAUCAUUCCCAGGUUCAGACUUCCCGCCUCCAUCCAGUCAGACAACAGUCUGGCCUUCACUUCUCAGGUUGUUCAACUAGUCUCCAAAGGCCUCAACAUCACUUGGAGGCUCCACAUCCCCCACCAACCCCCAUUCUCGGAUGCCGCUUCUACAUUCCAAGUGACAUGGCACCAGGAUGACACCACCCACUCUCAGUUUAUGGGUCAAGGUGAUUGCCCUUCCACUGGCUGCAAUUGGGCUGUCCACCCUUAACAUUACUGGAUUCAACAAAGCCACCUCCAAUACUUCCUAGAAUCCCUGCUACAGAACUAGUGGCUGAUACCAAGAAUCUCCUCCGGCCAGGACUGGUUUGAUGCCAUCGAUGACUUGUGGCUUCAAGGAACUUUUAUGGACUUUACCCCUACCAAAGCAGUUGUCUGUAGCCACUGGGUUUUAUUUCUGGCUGCCCUGGUAUUCUCAGACCUGUCCCCCGAACAUUCCUCGACUUCCCCUUCUAGGUCCAACGCUGCCCACCAUUAAGCAGGAAGUAGCCAGAGGACUUUACGCCGUCCCCCAUGUCACUUAGAAAAACAAACAGGGAGGAAUGUUAGGUGCAGGACAGGCUGAGUAAGCUGUCUGCAGGACAGGCUGAGUAAGCUGUUUAGAGGGCAUGCCAAAGUUAGCUGCAGGGUGACCAGGCCUCUCAAACCCUCUGUCUGGUUCUUUAUCAACUAUUUGCUUCAAGCCCAAAUGCCCAAGCCCCCACUUAAGGCUGAACACUCAACCCCCUGCUCAAGGCCAAACACUUAACCCCCCUUGUGCCAACAAGGCAGCUUGCAGACCCAGAUAACUCAUUAGAUUUGGGCUAUAAAAACUCCCUCCUGCCGGGUCCCUCUCUCUCUUGCUCUCUCUUUUGCUUUCUCUGUCUCUCUCUUGUGUGGGCUUCCUCUCUCUCUCUCUCCUUCUCUCUCUCUCUCUUCUCCUCUGUUGCACUGCUGCAAUAAAGCUCUCUUGGUCGCUCUGA